AGAGUGAACGCUGGCGGCAGGCCUAAUACAUGCAAGUCGAACGGCAGCACGGCAGAGCUUGCUCUGUGGGUGGCGAGUGGCGGACGGGUGAGGAAUACAUGGGAAUCUGCCCAGUCGUGGGGGAUAACGUAUGGAAACGUACGCUAAUACCGCAUGACGCCCGUUCGGGGGAAAGCCGGGGACCUUCGGGCCUGGCGCGAUUGGAUGAGCCCAUGUCGGAUUAGCUAGUGGCGGGUAGCGGCCACAAGGCGACGAUCCGUAGCUGGUCUGAGAGGAUGAUCAGCCACACUGGAACUGAGACACGGUCCAGACUCCGUAGGGAGCAGCAGGUAGGAAUAGUUGGACAAGUGGGACGACAAGCCUGAUCCAGCCAGUGCCGCGUAGUGUAGAAGAAGGUCCUUAGGGUUAGUAAA
rnacentral:rRNA from 1 species